AUUGAACGCUGGCGGCGUGCCUAAUACAUGCAAGUCGAACGCAGUGGGGACGGGUGAGUAACACGUGGUUAACCUCCCAUCAGAGGGGAUAACACUUGGAAACAGGUGCUAAACCGAUACUGAUGGAUGCACCCGCGGUGCAUUAGCUAGUUGGUGAGGUAACGGCUCACCAAGGCCACGAUGCAUAGGCGACACGAGAGGGGGAUAGGAAAAACUGGGACUGAGAGACGGCCAAGACACGUGCGGGAGGCAGGAGAAGGGAAUCGUCGGCAAAGGACGAAAGUUUGACGGAGCAACGCAGCGUGAGUGAAGAAGGGUUUCGGAUGGUAAAACUCUGUUGUUAGAGAAGCGGUAUCUAACCAGAAAGCCACGGCUAACUACGUGCCAGCAGCCGCGGUAAUAC
rnacentral:rRNA from 1 species